rfam:Ictidomys tridecemlineatus contig034840, whole genome shotgun sequence.
GGGAUUGUGGCUCAGUGACAGAGUGCUUGCCUGGCAGGUGUGAGGCACUGGGUUCGAUCCCCAGCACCCCA